GCAAAUUUCUAUCGUUUCCUACGGAAAGCUAAAACCGGUGGAUCUGGGUCAUGAUGAAAAUGCUUAUGCAAAAAAUCGCCGUGCGGUUUUGGUUUAUUAAGAGUGUGGUAUGAAUCUUGACUUCAAAUGUUAUUUGCUA
rfam:Candidatus Regiella insecticola LSR1 genomic scaffold Scaffold3, whole genome shotgun sequence.